AUUGAACGCUGGCGGCAUGCCUUACACAUGAAAGUCGAACGGUAACAGGUCUUCGGAUGCUGACGAGUGGCGAACGGGUGAGUAAUGCAUCGGAACGUGCCCAGUAGUGGGGGAUAGCCCGGCGAAAGCCGGCUUAAUACCGCAUACCACCUGAGGGUGAAAGGGGGGGAUCGCAAGACCUCUCGCUAUUGGAUCGGCCUAUGUCAGAUUAGCUAGUUGGUGGGGUAAAGGCCUACCAAGGCAACGAUCUGUAGUUUGUCGGAGAGGACGACCAGGCACACUGUUACUGAGACACGGCCCAGACUCCUACGGGAGGCAGCAGUGGGGAAUUUUGGACAAUGGGCGCAAGCCUGAUCCAGCAAUGCCGCGUGCAGGAAGAAGGCCUUCGGGUUGUAAACUGCUUUUGUCAGGGAAGAAAUCUUCUGGGUUAAUACCUCGGGAGGAUGACGGUACCUGAAGAAUAAGCACCGGCUAACUACUUGCCAGCAGCCGCCGUAACAC
rnacentral:rRNA from 1 species